rnacentral:rRNA from 1 species
UUACUGGUUGAACUCGCUCAGCUGGCUUGUCGCACUGGACAAAUAUGCCAGGCGUCCAACUACAGGUGAGUCGCCAGUUUAAUCCGGAUUUUUGGAAAGAAUAGAACCUCAUUGGCGCUCCGAACUGAGCAACGACCUACUGAACCAUUCCAUCCCCUCUCUGAACUAAAGUAAAUACGAAUCCAAGGAAGGCAGCAGGCGCGCAAAUUACUCACUCUCAGCAAGAGGAGGUAGUGACGAAAAAUAACGAGACCGUUCUCAUUGAGGCCGGUUAUCGGAAUGGGUACAAUUUAAACCUGUUAACGAGGACCUAUGAGAGGGCAAGCCUGGUGCCAGCAGCCGCGGUAACUCCAGCUCUCAAAGUGUAUAUCGUUAUUGCUGCGGUUAAAAAGCUCGUAGUUGGAAUCCAGCUUGACGACAUGGUCCAUUUAUUGGAUGUGAACUAUGAUCGUAGGCUAAUCUAUGUUUUCCUUGCGUUACCUUGAUCGGUCGCGUAAGGUGGCUAGCGAGUUUACCUUGAAAAAAUUAGAGUGCUUAAUGCGGGCUUAAAAGCCUGAAUAUUCGUGCAUGGAAUAAUAGAAUAGGAUCUCGGUUCUAUUUUGUUGGUUUUCUGAUCUGAGAUAAUGGUUAAGAGGGACAGACGGGGGCAUUCGUACCGCUGCGUGAGAGGUGAAAUUCUUGGACCGUAGCGAGACGUCCCACUGCGAAAGCAUUUGCCAAGAAUGUCUUCAUUAAUCAAGAACGAAAGUCAGAGGUUCGAAGGCGAUCAGAUACCGCCCUAGUUCUGACCGUAAACGAUACCAACUAGCGUUCCGUCAGUGGUAAUUACGCCUUGACGGGCAGCUUACCGGAAACGAAAGUUUUUCGGUUCCGGGGGAAGUAUGGUUGCAAAGCUGAAACUUAAAGAAAUUGACGGAAGGGCACCACCAGGGGUGGAGCCUGCGGCUUAAUUUGACUCAACACGGGAAAACUCACCUGGCCCGGACACCGUGAGGAUUGACAGAUUGAGAGCUCUUUCUUGAUUCGGUGGUUGGUGGUGCAUGGCCGUUCUUAGUUGGUGGAGUGAUUUGUCUGGUUUAUUCCGAUAACGAGCGAGACUCUAGCCUACUAAAUAGUCGGCAAAUAACUCGUGAAAUGUUUGUGCGACUUCUUAGAGGGACAAGCGGUGUUCAGCCGCAUGAAGUUGAGCAAUAACAGGUCUGUGAUGCCCUUAGAUGUCCAGGGCUGCACGCGCGCUACACUGGAGGAAUCAACGUGCUAUGUCCAUUGUCGAAAGGCAUUGGUAACCCGUUGAAAAUCCUCCGUGCUCGGGAUAGGGAAUUGCAAUUAUUUCCCUUGAACGAGGAAUCCCUAGUAAGUGUGAGUCAUCAGCUCACGCUGAUUACGUCCCUGCCCUUUGUACACACCGCCCGUCGCUGCCCGGGACUGAGCCGUUUCGAGAAAAGCGGAGACUGCUGUAUUGAAGCCGAAUAUUUGCGGUGGAAAUACUCUGGUGGAAAUCGCCUUAAUCGCAGUGGCUUGAACCGGGCAAAAGUCGUAACAAGGUUUCCGUAGGUGAACCUGCGGAAGGAUCAUUA